rnacentral:tRNA from 1 species
CUCCCCAGGUAGGACUUGAACCUACGACCAAUCGAUUAACAGUCGAUCGCUCUACCACUGAGCUACUGAGGA